rnacentral:rRNA from 1 species
GUGCCAGCCGCCGCGGUAAUACGUAGGGUGCGAGCGUUAAUCGGAAUUACUGGGCGUAAAGCGUGCGCAGCGGAUUGUUAACAAGACGUGAAAUCCCGGGCUUACCUGGGAAUGGCGUUUUGAACUGGCAGUCUAGAGUGUGUCAGAGGGGGGUAGAAUUCCACGUGUAGCAGUGAAAUGCGUAGAGAUGUGGAGGAAUACCAAUGGCGAAGGCAGCCCCCUGGGAUAACACUGACGCUCAUGUACGAAAGCGUGGGUAGCAAACAGGAUUAGAUACCCUGGUAGUCCACGCCCUAAACGAUGUCAACUGGUUGUUGGGGGAGUGAAAUCCCUUAGUAACGAAGCUAACGCGUGAAGUUGACCGCCUGGGGAGUACGGUCGCAAGAUUAAAACUCAAAGGAAUUGACGGGGACCCGCACAAGCGGUGGAUGAUGUGGAUUAAUUCGAUGCAACGCGAAAAACCUUACCUACCCUUGACAUGUCCAGAAUCCUGCAGAGAUGCGGGAGUGCCCGAAAGGGAAUUGGAACACAGGUGCUGCAUGGCUGUCGUCAGCUCGUGUCGUGAGAUGUUGGGUUAAGUCCCGCAACGAGCGCAACCCUUAUCAUUAGUUGCUACGCAAGGGCACUCUAAUGAGACUGCCGGUGACAAACCGGAGGAAGGUGGGGAUGACGUCAAGUCCCUCAUUGGCCCUUAUGGGUAGGGCUUCACACGGUCAUACAAUGGUCGGUACAGAGGGUUGCCAAGCCGCGAG